rnacentral:rRNA from 1 species
CUACGGGCCGCUGCAGUGGGGAAUAUUGCACAAUGGGCGCAAGCCUGAUACAGCCAUGCCGCGUGUAUGAAGAAGGCCUUCGGGUUGUAAAGUACUUUCAGCGGGGAGGAAGGGAGUAAAGUUAAUACCUUUGCUCAUUGACGUUACCCGCAGAAGAAGCACCGGCUAACUCCGUGCCAGCAGCCGCGGUAAUACGGAGGGGGCAAGCGUUAAUCGGAAUUACUGGGCGUAAAGCGCACGCAGGCGGUUUGUUAAGUCAGAUGUGAAAUCCCCGGGCUCAACCUGGGAACUGCAUCUGAUACUGGCAAGCUUGAGUCUCGUAGAGGGGGGUAGAAUUCCAGGUGUAGCGGUGAAAUGCGUAGAGAUCUGGAGGAAUACCGGUGGCGAAGGCGGCCCCCUGGACGAAGACUGACGCUCAGGUGCGAAAGCGUGGGGAGCAAACAGGAUUAGAUACCCGAUAGUC